UACGUAGGGUGCAAGCGUUGUCCGGAAUUCUUGGGCGUCAAGAGCUCGUAGGCGGUCUGUUGCGUCGGCUGUGAAAACCCGGGGCUCAACCCCGGGCCUGCAGCCGAUACGGGCAGACUAGAGUUCGGCAGGGGAGACUGGAAUUCCUGGUGUAGCGGUGAAAUGCGCAGAUAUCAGGAGGAACACCGGUGGCGAAGGCGGGUCUCUGGGCCGAUAUUGACGCUGAGGCGCGAAAGCCAGGGGAGCAAACGGG
rnacentral:rRNA from 1 species